rnacentral:rRNA from 1 species
CAAUAGCGUAUAUUAAAGCUGUUGCGGUUAAAAAGCUCGUAGUUGGAUUUCUGUCAAGUACAACUGGUCCGCCCUCCGGGUGAGCACAUAGUUUGGUCUUGGCAUCUUGCUGGGAAUUGUUGCUGCACUUGGCUGUGUGGCGCAGUGCCCAGCACUUUCACUUUGAGGAAAUUGGAGUGUUUCAAGCAGGCAAUGCCUUUGAACACAGUAGCAUGGAAUAAUUAGAUUGGGCUUUUGCUCCAAUUUGUCGGUUUCUGGAGCUGAGGUGAGAAUUAAUGGGGAUUGUUGGGGGCAUCCGAAUUUAGCCGUCAGAGGUGAAAUUCUUGGAUCGGCUAAAGACGGACAACUGCGAAAGCGUCUGCCCAGGAUGUUUUCAUUGA